AACGAACGCUGGCGGCAGGCUUAACACAUGCAAGUCGAGCGCCCCGCAAGGGGAGCGGCAGACGGGUGAGUAACGCGUGGGAAUCUACCUUUUGCUACGGAAUAACUCAGGGAAACUUGUGCUAAUACCGUAUGUGCCCUUCGGGGAAGAUUUAUCGGCAAAGGAUGAGCCCGCGUUGGAUUAGCUAGUUGGUGGGGGUAAAGGGCCCACCAAGGCGACGAUCCAUAGCU
rnacentral:rRNA from 1 species